UCUAGAGAAUUGGUAUAGAAUUGAGUUGAUAUUGGUUGCUUUGAAAGAAAGAUCUUCUCUUCACAACAGCUUGAUCUGUGACAGGGAUUAGAUACCCCAUUAAUUCAAGUGAUAAAUUCUGGCUUCUUAGAAAUUGGAUCUCUUUUUAGCAUAGAAAGGUUAUUAACCUAAGGAGUACGCUUUCAAAAAUGAAACUUAAAUGUUCUGAUGGUGGUUUAAAUCAAUAGUGGAAUAGAUUCUUUAAUUCGAUGUUCUGCGAUAAAGCUUAUCAGCAAAGUCAAUGAAUCUCAGGAGAUAGGUCUCAUCCCAUUCAUAGUAGUGCAUGGCUGUUUCUAGAGAAUGUUUUGUAAUUCUGGUUCAAUUCAAGAAUACCCGAUACACUUUAACCUAGAUAGAAGAACAUCAAGUCAUUAUGCUCUUUUGUUCAGAGAUAUACAUCUGUUACAAAGAGAGCUACGAACAGCACUUAAGAAUGGAAUAUUAGCUUUAGCUGGUAAUGGUCUUGUCGAAGAGGAAUUAAUGGAUAUGGAAUAUCAACUUGCUUAUAUCUAUAGGCAUCUAUAUAUUGAAGAACAUUGAGUACCAGAUCAUUUAGCAUACGGCAUUGACAAUUGAAAGGUUUUUAUAAAGGAGGAAUUCUUAGUAAGCUUUGAUUAGCAAUUUAAAGUUGAAUAGGAGACUAAAAUUAUAUACAUACCGCCCGUCAAGCAAAAAGAAGAGAUAGAGUGUUGUAGCAAAUGAAUAACGAUAGUGAUUGGUUGGGACCAGUGUUAUGUAGAUAUCGAAGAGUAAGGUACGUAAGAGAAUACUUUAGCUUGUGUUGUAAUGAAUCUAUAGGCAUCUAUAUGUAUGGUAAUGUUUAUCGUAGAGUAAUGGCUCCAUUUAUACCUGCAACCCUAGUAAGGUACUUACUUAUAUAGCACAAAGCUUUAGCUUGGUUGUAGUGUAACGUAUCUUUAAUGGAUGGAUAUCCAUAUUGAAGUCUUAGCAUUAGGUCUAUGUUUAUGGUACAGUGCUAAUGAAACUUCAUGUUAAGUUGCAUCUCUUUAGUGGUAUCAGAGACUAAUAGCUUGGUAAUGAAAUGAAAGAACCUUUCGAAUGUAGUGUAAUGAUUAGCUUGUAUGUGGUGUAAGCAUGCUAAUUAAUGUUAAGUCGAAACAUGGUUGCUACUCAAGAAUGAAUAGGUACAUAAUUCAACAUCUCUGUAUAAGAGACACUAUGUUAGAAAGCAAUUUACCUUGAUCUUAAACAUUUCCUUAAAACACACUUCUGGCCAGAAGAUAAACUUAACAAAAGAACACAAUAACAUUAGCAUUAGACCAGUACAUAUGAACCCAUACAUAUAGAUGCCUAUAGAUCAAGGUAAAACAAGAGGAAUUGUUGUAGCAUUAUUCAGACAUUGUCGCUGGUAUGUUAUUGAAGCUAGUAGUGUAUAACAGGUUGAGCUUGAUCGCAAUAGUAAAUCCAUCGUUAAUGUUAAGUCGUAACAUGGUUGCUACUCAUGAAUGAGUGGUGCUAGCAUAGAAAAAGUUGGGCAUUUUAAAUAUGAAUCGACAUGCAUGAUUGCCCAUAUGCCCCACUUCAGCUGCCAGAUGACGAAACAGCAUGUAUGUAUGAACGAUAAAGCUAAAGCUU
rnacentral:rRNA from 1 species